GUGUCAGCCGCCGCGGUAAUACGUAGGGGGCAAGCGUUGUCCGGAAUCAUUGGGCGUAAAGCGCACGUAGGCGGCCCGGUAAGUCCGUUGUGAAAGUCAGAGGCUCAACCUCUGGAGGCCAAUGGAUACUGCCGGGCUAGAGUCCGGAAGAGGCGAGUGGAAUUCCUGGUGUAGCGGUGGAAUGCGCAGAUAUCAGGAGGAACACCAAUGGCGAAGGCAGCUCGCUGGGACGGUACUGACGCUGAGGUGCGAAAGCGUGGGGAGCGAACAGGAUUAGAUACCCUGGUAGUCCACGCCGUAAACGAUGGCCACUAGGUGUGGGAGGUGUCGACUCCUCCCGUGCCGGCGCUAACGCAUUAAGUGGCCCGCCUGGGGAGUACGGCCGCAAGGCUAAA
rnacentral:rRNA from 1 species